rnacentral:rRNA from 1 species
UAAGCAGAUAGUGAAAUUGUGUGGCUCAACCAUACACCCAUUGUCUGAACUGCUAAGCUCGAGGAUGAGAGAGGUUAUUGGAAUUCCUAGUGUAGGAGUGAAAUCCGUAGAUAUUAGGAGGAACACCGAUGGCGUAGGCAGAUAACUGGCUCAUUCCUGACACUAAGGCACGAAAGCGUGGGGAGCAAACGGGAUUAGAUACCCCGGUAGUCCACGCCGUAAACGAUGGAUGCUA